CGCGUAGGCGGGAAUGUAAGUCAGGUGUGAAAUCUGAGGGCUCAACCCUCAAACUGCACUUGAAACUACAUUUCUUGAGUGAUGGAGAGGCAAGUGGAAUUCCUAGUGUAGCGGUGAAAUGCGUAGAUAUUAGGAGGAACACCAGUGGCGAAGGCGACUUGCUGGACAUUAACUGACGCUGAGGCGCGAAAGCGUGGGGAGCAAACA
rnacentral:rRNA from 1 species